GCAGAGUUCUCAUUUUUCAGAUUUGUAGUAGUAUUCGCUUUUGGUUUACAUGAUAUUGGCUGUAUCUCCCUGACAACUGCUCUUUGGUUGGUGUAGGUGUUUUUUUAUGGAUGUACCUGGUUGCGAUGAAGCUAAACAAGAAAUAAUGCUAUCACUUAUUACCUUUGUCCUUCAAAUUUGAGUAUAGGCCUGCGAAAUAAUGAAUAUUUGUGUCUCAUUGCUCCAGCAUGGUCAAUAAAGAUAUGUUGACCCAGGAAAUGUGGGUUUAUCAUAGGUCCUACUGUAUACGUUGAUAUAUGAAAUAUGACAUUUACGGUUAUAUGCUAUCACUUAUUGCCUUUGUCCUUUGCAUUGAGUAUAGGCCUGUGAAAUAAUGGUGUAUUUGUGUGUUGAUUCGUCUGUUUUCCUUCAUGUUCUGGUUCUAAGGUACUAGGACAGACCCAGAGUUAUUUGUAAAAAAAUGUGUUCCAAUGUACCAAUAUUUUGUAUCCUUUCUAAUGCUUAAAAAAGAGGCCAAUAAUUCUUUUAGAAUAUGUAAUAUAUGACAUGUGUAACGCACCUUAAGAGACUACUAAGUUAUCCUGUAUAAUUGGCACGCCCUACUUUUGUAGUAAUAAAUAUAUCAGGUGCUGCUCCAUACAGGUGAUACAUUGCAUUUACCAUAGUAUUUGAUUACAUAUGAUAACAUAAAAUCUGUUUUUUCCUUAGCGGUUCGGCACAUUAGUGCAUAGAAACAGAGUACAGGCAAAUUGAUUAGAUGCAUUAGUUAAGAACACUGAUUUUUUUGGAAAGCUUCAUCAUGACAUCGAUAUUGGUUUCGCCUUACUACCACUCAGAGGUUGGAUGGAGCAUUGAGGAUUUCAGGCUUGGGGUGGCCACGUGUUGCAGGAUAGCAGGAAGAGUUGGAUGUGUUCUGCAGAGACGAGGUGAUCAAUGUCGUUGCCGCCAGGUAGAUGAAGUACAACACUUCUAAAUUUUCUCAUUUAUUUAUCCUCAUAGUUGGUUCCCUUGAUACUUUUUCUUAGAAACAUGAUCAAAGAUACAAAAAGUUUUACUUCUGAAGCAGAAGUGGCAGUAUAGUGUGCAUGUCGUAUUGCAAGUAGAUUUUAUAGAUACCAAUAGAAAUAAUAACUUGGGAUUUAUUUCUGUUCAACCUCUGUGAUCUAGAUGAGCAAAGCAACAACUUUGGCUUUAUUUCUUUGUGAUGUAGAUGAGAAAAACAGUACCUUGGAUUUUAAUUUUGUUCUCUAUGAUGUAGAUUAGCAAGAUUUCUAACCAACAAAGUAAUUUAUUUUAGUAUGGUUUUGUCACUAUGAUUGGUAAUAUGAAGUUUAUUUAUUCUAGGUUCCUAUCUUUAGACAGUCACAUCCACGUUCGUACUUUUAGAAUAGUUGUUGCAGAGCAUUUUUGCAAUAGCAAGAUAUCAGGACCCAAUGGGCAUAGGCCGAACCAACCACCAUCACUAUUGCUUCAGGAUUAGAUAGCCAACAUCCACUCACGAGGUGAGUUUGCUUACUCUACUUUCAGUGUACUAUGCAGAUAUGUUGGUUAGAAAUUUUGCUAUGUUCCUGUCAAGUUGAUUAGAUAUGAAAAAUAUGCUCUAUAAUACCCACAUAAUACUUGUUUAAAUUGGCUUUUCCCUGGUUCAUCGGUGCACACAUGAAACCGGUAAUAAGAAGAGAAUCACCUGAUUUUUUUAUAGUCUAUUUUAGUAAGCAUGUUCAUAAUAUUAGGAUAGUUUAAUUUGAGAACAAUUGGCUGGAGGAACGAUGUAAUUUGAUACUCUGUUAUGUUGAUCUCCAGAGAAAUCUGGUUUUUGGUUUUUCAUUGAUGUACGUUAAUCUGUUGUGAAUCUUGUUUGCUUGCACCAAUUAUAUGUGUAACAAUUAGAGGGGAACUUUUGGAACUCAUACAUUCUAUUUCAAUUAAUGUUCAAAGCAACUUUCCUGUGUGAAUCUGAUAAUCUCACUGAAACAUGUGUUUCAUUGUGUAUAUUCAGCCUGUCGAGUCAAGUUUCAGACGAUCAUGUAUCCCCUUGAUAUUCACUGGAUGGAAUCCCCUGUUUUACUUAGACUGAACCUUCUACAAACAUCGGAAAAGCAACAGUAAUAAAGAUGGACAGAAAUUCCAAAAAUAAGGUUAGUUCUUCUUUGUUCCGUAUCAUUCUCUUUACCGUUCCUUUUGGUACUAUACUCCAAAAAAGAGGCAAUCGGAAAUAUUUAGGUCCACUGAAAAGUAAUUCUGGAGCUCGCAGAGUUCUCAUUUUUCAGAUUUGUAGUAGUAUUCGCUUUUGGUUUACAUGAUAUUGGCUGUAUCUCCCUGACAACUGCUCUUUGGUUGGUGUAGGUGUUUUUUAUGGAUGUACCUGGUUGCGAUGAAGCUAAACAAGAAAUAAUUCUAUCACUUAUUACCUUUGUCCUUCAAAUUUGAGUAUAGGCCUGCGAAAUAAUGAAUAUUUGUGUCUCAUUGCUCCAGCAUGGUCA
rnacentral:lncRNA from 1 species